rnacentral:rRNA from 1 species
AUUGAACGCUGGCGGCAGGCCUAACACAUGCAAGUCGAGCGGAUGACGGGAGCUUGCUCCUUGAUUCAGCGGCGGACGGGUGAGUAAUGCUUAGGAAUCUGCCUGGUAGUGGGGGACAACGUUUCGAAAGGAACGCUAAUACCGCAUACGUCCUACGGGAGAAAGCAGGGGACCUUCGGGCCUUGCGCUAUCAGAUGAGCCUAGGUCGGAUUAGCUAGUUGGUGGGGUAAUGGCUCACCAAGGCGACGAUCCGUAACUGGUCUGAGAGGAUGAUCAGUCACACUGGAACUGAGACACGGUCCAGACUCCUACGGGAGGCAGCAGUGGGGAAUAUUGGACAAUGGGCGAAAGCCUGAUCCAGCCAUGCCGCGUGUGUGAAGAAGGUCUUCGGAUUGUAAAGCACUUUAAGUUGGGAGGAAGGGCAGUAAGUUAAUACCUUGCUGUUUUGACGUUACUGACAGAAUAAGCACCGGCUAACUCUGUGCCAGCCGCCGCGGUAA